AAUACAUUACUCCUUCCUUGAGCUGGGAGAUCUAGUCUGAUUUGAUUCGAUUUGGGACUUGAAGCACAAGGGUUAUCUCCCCUUAUUUCUUUAUUAAAGCCGGGUUUAAGGAUGAUCUGAAGGAUGACAAAUUUGUAGUCUCAUACUCUCAUCUAGACCUUAUAGUAUACUAAGUGAUCAGCUCCAACAUUGGAACAUUGAACUGGAGCGGUACAAAGGAUUAAUAGAGUCCCUUCAGGUAUAUUUGCCUUUACACAUUUGCAUGUGCUUAGACUGCUGCAUUGGUUUGAGAUUGUUUCUUUAAAGUGAGAACUGUACUACCCAGUUGUACAGUUCUACGUUCAUACACAGUGGUGGCAAAAUGACCAUCUCACCCCCCUUUGUCAGAUGCUUGGGUGUGAACUUCUAUUGGCCAAGCGUGGGGGUCACAUAACCAAUCAAUGUUCUCUCUCCCAUAUAUUCUUUGGGUGCUUUUGUCAGUAACCAAGAAGGUUAUAAACAGAAUUUGUAAUUGUACUUUGUUUGCCCCCAAAAUAUUGUAUGUUUUUACUUCA